rnacentral:rRNA from 1 species
AUAAGGGCGUAUGGUGGAUGCCUAGACACAAAAUGGCGAUGAAGGACGCAGCGUAACUGCGAUAAGCUUCGGGGAGGUGUGUAGCAACCUUUGAUCCGGAGAUUUCCGAAUGGGGAAACCCUGCGCGGUAAACCCGCGUAACGCAUGCGAUUAAACGCGCAUGUGAGCAGACCCGCUGAAGUGAAACAUCUCAGUAAGCGGAGGAAUAAAAAUAGAUUAGAUUCCCCAAGUAGCGGCGAGCGAAAAGGGAACAGCCUAAACUUUAGUGUGUGCAGCAAUGUAUACAUUGGAGGGUUGCAAGGAUAGAACAUUUUUGCGUAUCGCAAAGCUCUCGUUAAACAGGGCUGUGCGAUUCGCGGAAGAUUGGUUACAAAUUGCUUCGUUAGUCGAAGCUUCUGGAAAGAAGCGCCAAAGAGCGUGAUAGCCGCGUAGACGAAAACAAAGCAACCAAUUCGUUUUAUUUCUUAAGUACCUCGAGACCACAACAUCUCGAGGGAAUCUGCCAGUACUAUCUGGUAAGGCUAAAUACAUUUUGUGAUCGAUAGUGAACAAGUACCGUGAGGGAAAGGUGAAAAGCAGCCCGGCGAGGGCGCUGAAAUAGUACCUGAAACCAUAUGUCUACAAGGACCAGAAGUCCAACCACUAAGCAAUUAGUGGCGGACAACUGGGUGCCUAUUGAAGAAUGAGCCAACGACUUUACGUUUACUGCUUGUCUAAGUCGCUUCAUGCGACGGAGGCAUAGGGAAACCGAGUGUUAAUAGCGCGUUCUCUUAUUUAUGACCGAGUAGCUGGUAUGCUUCCAGCGUUCGGUCAUAAAUGAGAAGGCAGUAAGUGUAAGACCCGAAGCCAAGGCGAGCUUGCCCUGACCAGGAUGAACCCGAGCGAAAGCGAGGGGGAGGUCCGAACCAGUUGAUUGUGCAAAAUCUUUGGAUGAGUUGGGGUAAGAAGUGAAAAGCUAAUCGAGCUUGGUAAUAGCUGGUUCUCUCCGAAAUAGUUUUAGGACUAGCGUUCCGCAAAAACCGUAUGGGGGUAGAGCACUGGUUGAUUCGUAUUGGGGGAAACCUCGGCGCAUCAGUCAAACUCCGAAUACCAUACGGGACGCGGGAUAGUCAGACUGUGGGGGCAAAGCUCCAUAGUCGCGAGGGGAAUAGCCCAGAUCGCCGUCUAAGGUCCCCAAAUUCUUGCUAAGUGUUAAAGGUAGUCAUUAUCCAUAGACAGAUAGGAGGUUGGCUUAGAGGUAGCCAUCCUUUAAAGAGUGUGUAACAACUCACUAUUCGAUGGGUCGUGGCGCCAAAAAUGUACCGGGGCUAAGCAAGAUACCGACGACACGGGUGUCCAUGACUUCGGUCGUGGACGCGGUAGGAGAGCAUUCUGAUUGCUGUGAAGGUUCAUCCGUGAGGAGGACUGGAGCGUUCAGGAGUGAGAAUGUUGGCAUGAGUAACCAUCAAAUCCGAUGAGAAAUCGGAUCCCCGAAAAUCCAAGGUUUCCGUGGCAAUGGCAAUCAACCACGGGUUAGGCGAUCCUAAGGCAAUGGCGAAAACCGUAGCCGAUGGGUAGCCGGUUAAUAUUCCGGCCCGCGCUUAUUUGUGCGAUGGGGUGACGGAGGAAAAAAGGUUGAGCGUCUCAAUGGUUUGACGUCGCUGAUGAUAAGGAAUGUGUUCUUGGCAAAUCCGGAGCACUGUGUUUAAUCGCGAAUUCCGCGCGUCGGCGUAAGGCCAAGUUUUACUUGGCUAAUUCAACUGAAGAGCCUUCCAAGAAAAACCUCUAAGUUUAGGAUAAGCGCAUCGUACCGUAAACCGACACAGGUGGGUGAGGCGAGAAGCCUCAGGGGAACGAGUGAGUCUUGGUCAAGGAACUAGGCAAAAAAGCGGCCGUACCUUCGGUAUAAGGCCUGCCCGUCACGCCGCAAGGUGUGCAUGGGCUGCAACAAAAGUACAUUUGGCGACUGUUUAUCAAAAACACAGCUUCCUGCUAACUCGUAAGAGGAUGUAUAGGAGGUGACACUUGACCGAUGCGAGAAGGUUAACGGUGGGUGUGUAUCCGAAAGCAAUUUUGGAUAUGCUCACUGCCCGAAGCCCUCGUCAAUGUCAGCGGUAACUAUAACCGUUCUAAGGUGAAUUGCUUGCCUUAGUAAAAUUCGGCUAAAUGCUGGAAUAACCGUAGUAUCCGGUGCUACUCGAAAGAGUGACAAUGCAUCCGGUGCGGUCAAUCAGCAGGGAAGAUUCCGUAAUGGAAAACCCUCAGAGACUAUACGCCGAACUCCGACGAUCAUGUCGGGGAAGAUAUAGUCCGAACUGCAUAGCGAUAUGCAGAGUGCGAUAGAAAUACUCGCACCACCAUUAGUGGCUGGAAUGUAGCCGCUGAUGGCUGUAACAAUAGUUGAGCGCAAUUCCUUUCCGGGUAAGUUCCGGAGCGCAUGAAUAGUGUAACGAUCGAAUGACUGUCUCGACCAAGAGCUCGGUGAAAUUGCGAUUCCCGUGAAGACGCGGGAUACCUGUAACGGGACGAAAAGACCCCGGGAGCUUUACUGUAGUUUGAUAUUGGCUUUAACGUUUUUCUGCGUAGCGUAGUGGCGAGGGUAUGAAACCUGGUUUUCGGAUCAGGUGGACCCGACAAUGAAACAGCCAUCUGGAAAAUGUUAAAAUCUAACCUUUACGGCAAAAACGUAUUGGGACAGUGUCUGAUGGGCAGUUUUAAUGGGGCGUUAUCCUCAACAAAACGAUUGAUAUCCGUUCAAUCGAGGGGGUUAACGUAAUAAAAAAUUCAGCUAUAUGCUGGGACAUCCGUGUAUCUUCGAGUACUCGGGCGCUUCGCGCUCAGUGAAAAUCUUGAAGUGGCAUCCGCCAGUCGGCGGAUCGACGGACAAUCA